GACGAACAUUACUUCCGAAAUUUCCCAAAACUGCAAAAAACUUCUCCGGCAGGUUUUUGGAGACAUUACCGGAGAACGGCGCCGUUUUUGUUCAUCGGGAUUUUCCUAUAUCAAUCGUUGGCUCCUUCACUGCUUAAUGUUAUAGACUCAUCGCAACAAUCUUCUACUUGUGAUUGCUUCUCUCUGGGUGCACUGGUUUUUUGAGCUGGUGUUGUUGAAACAAUGGGUAGUUCAUUUAACGCUCAGAUAUUAGUUGAGAAGCUUGCCAAGCUCAACAAUACGCAAGCAAGCAUUGAGACUUUAUCACAUUGGUGUAUCUUUCA